rnacentral:lncRNA from 1 species
GGACGAUCAAUUGUUUUUCACUUCUGCUCUAUAAUGCUCUAUUAAUUGCUAGGGGAGGCUAGGGAUAACAAACCAGUAAUUAGUAAUAGGCUCUUUUCGCCGAGGGAUCGGGUUAAGGGUAGGCUAAGAAAGUUGCAUGACAAUUAGUUAAUCAAGCUAAUAAAUCAAAAGGAGUAAAUAAGAGAGAGCGGAUAAGAUGAAAUUGCAAACCCCCAACAACUCCAUUCAUCCAUUGUUUUCUUCUCGUCAAUUGAAUCAAUCUCUUUUGCAUGUUUAUAUUUUAUUCUCACAUCCAAUUAAUUAAUUUUUAUUUUCAAGUCUUACGAUCUUAAUUCACACGAACGAUAAGGCCUUUCGAGUCUCUUAGGAAAACGAUACUUGGACUUACCAUUUAUUAUUACUUGAUACGAUUUGGUACGCUUUCCAAUCCGUUAACAGUUACACAUUAUGAAUGAUCAAUCUCCUAAGGAAAGAUGCAAUCAUGAAAUAUAACAAUUCU